rnacentral:lncRNA from 1 species
AUUUAUGACAGCCUCAGUUCAGUAAGUGUAAAGUGUAUGCACUUUAUUAUUGGUCACAACAGGAGAGAUUUUUUUUUUAAUGAAUGACAGUUCAGUUGCCUUCUGUCAGGAUGAAUGUCCCAGUGGCCACAAGCUGCACCUUCACUUCCUGAAUGCCAUGUUUCAGUGGUACUUCCUGCGGCGGUCAUGCUCUCUGCGGAAGGCACCCACGAUGCCGCUGGGGGUGAAGUCCCUCAUGGCCAGCCAGGUGGACAGCUGGCCCACCUUGACGUCCAGCAGCUUCAUGUCCUUCAGGGGAAC